UUUUUGUUUUUUUGUUUGAAAAUGUUUUUAUUUUAAUGGUUUCAGUUUUUAUUUAGAUUUAGGGGGUGUUUAGGUCCUUGUUUAUUUGUAGGUUUUUCUUGUAAAAUUACUUUACGUUUCUUUAUUUAACUCUAUUCAUACAAAAUCGGGACCUGAUAAAAUAAUAAAAUAAAGUUGUUGUUUUUUUGUUUUGUUUUUUCUACAAGAAUAAGUUGAUUGUUCUUGGAGGGUCAACUAUUUGGGUAAUAUUUUAAACCAACUAAAUGGCUCUGUUCUCCAAAUCUCUUUCAGUUCAGCACAGCAUUUUAGCUUAUUUUGUUUAGUAUUGUUGUAUUAUAUUAACUCUUUGUUUGUCUCUGGAUCUUUUCUUAGAGUCAUAAUUUCUGCUCACAAUUAGGAUAGUCUAGUUAAUUAAGAGGCUAUUUAAGGAAUUGUUUUUUCUUUUCUUUUCUUUAGCCUAAUGAAUUGUGUCACAGCCAUCCUAUUAAUCUGAGAGUCCCUACUACAACGGUAUGUGCUGUGUCCUCAUUUUGGGGGACCCAAAGGGAUACCACACUACCAUAUUUCUGAGAGACAAACACAGUUUGAGAGAAUAAGAUAGUGAAUAGAAACUUAAACAGGUUUUAAAAAAGAGGAAAAUAAACUGUCUAUGCAGAUGUGAAUGCAUGGAUGUGAUAAAGUUGCCAAAAAGAACAAAAAAGUGGCCUAUUUGUGAGAAUUAUCCACACUGCCUAUCCCCUGUGUGCCUUGAAACAAUGCAAAUGUGAAUUGCGUUUAAAAUCUUCCCAACAGCACCCACUAGGUCUAGCAGACUGUCUGUUCCUGUGUGCGAUAGUUCACUAUCGGACGCUGCUCCAAUGCCCUGGAUCACAGCGUCUGUCUCCUCGCAGGACCCGUCCGCUUUACCCACAGUUCCCCGCGCUCAGACAAGAUGGAGGAACGCAGCAGCUGCAGGAGAACAAUGUUUGGACUCUGAACAUUAAAAGAAACGAUCGAGGGGGGAAUUACACACAGAGAGAGCCAACGGUGGACAUGCACUGGUUCAACUUCAUCUUUUACUUGAAGUGACACGGAUGGUGUGUUUCUGACUAAUGCCAAAGCAUCUGGUUCAGAUCCAAUCCAGCAGCCUUUAAGGGGAAAUGAAUUAGUAUGAAUCAUCGGAUGGUGCAGGAAUCCAACGAAGAGCAAUUGGCCAUUGACUUCCCAGAAACAUGAUGUACCCUCUGCAAAUGUGCACGCGCACACACACACUGAUUGAGAUGUGGAGACCAAUCUGCAGUGCUCAUCAUAAUUUACAUGGAAACAUUUCUGCAAAAUACCAUAACUACUUAAGAUCUUGUUUACAAUUGUAAAACCACUGUAUAUUAUUAUGGGAUGGGAUGUUAAAUUGAUAAGAAGCUUUAUUUUUAUUGUUUUGCUUUUAUGCCAUUUAAUUUUUAAAUGACAAUGAUGAGUAAUACAGUGCUACAGUUUAAAGGAUAGUUCAUCCCGAAACGAAAAGUGUCAUCAUUUACUCACCCUCACAUCGUUCCAGACCUGUAUGACUUUCUUGUGUGUGUGUGUGUGUGUGUGUAUAACGUAAGAGAAGAAAUUUUGACAAAUGGUUUAUUUCUUUGUUCAUACAAUACAAUGGAAAUAAAUGGUAAUCAAAUCUGUUUGGAUCUUCCUGUCUGUUAUUGUUCAUAUUUCACCCAAGUCGUCUGUAUGUUUAAUGUAAUGAGAUUUUGAUCAUAUUCCACAAAAACACAUCUUGCUAAUACCCAUGUACGGUGCGACCAGUCUAAUCCAAUUCACAAACAAACUGAGGCUUGUAAACUGAUAUGUAUACAUACACUAGAUCAUUCAGAGCAGUUACUGAAUCAUCAUCUGACUCAGAGUCAUUACUUUCCAUCUUGUCAGUCUUGAAAUUAAGGUUUGCCAGACUUGAAU
rnacentral:lncRNA from 1 species